UACAGAGGUCCCAAGCGUUGUUCGGAUUUAUUGGGCGUAAAGGGUGCGUAGGCGGCGGAGUAAGUUGGGUGUGAAAGUCCAGGGCUCAACCCUGGAAUGCGGGUGGAUACUGCCGGGCUAGAGUCCGGAAGAGGCGAGUGGAAUUCCUGGUGUAGCGGUGGAAUGCGCAGAUAUCAGGAGGAACACCGAUAGCGAAGGCAGCUCGCUGGGACGGUACUGACGCUGAGGCGCGAAAGCGUGGGGAGCGAACAGG
rnacentral:rRNA from 1 species